rnacentral:rRNA from 1 species
UACAGAGGUCUCAAGCGUUGUUCGGAUUCAUUGGGCGUAAAGGGUGCGUAGGUGGCGCGGUAAGUCGGGUGUGAAAUCUCGGAGCUUAACUCCGAAAUUGCAUUCGAUACUGCCGUGCUCGAGGACUGGAGAGGAGACUGGAAUUCAUGGUGUAGCAGUGAAAUGCGUAGAGAUCAUGAGGAAUACCAGAGGCGAAGGCGGCUACCUGGACAAUUGCUGACGCUCAGGCACGAAAGCGUGGGGAGCAAAAGGG